AAAGUCGUAACAAGGUCUCCGUUGGUGAACCAGCGGAGGGAUCAUUAUUAAAAACAGACCGCACUGGCGUGGCUCUGCUAACCCCGCGAACCUGAUACCUUCAACGCGAUGCCUCGGCGCGCUGGCCCCCCUAGAGAUGGGGGGAGGCGGCCGCCGGCGGCAGGCGCGCAGAACAACACGCUCACGGCGCACUGCUCUCCAUCUGAACGUAAUGAUUAUAAACGAGUAAAAACUUUUGGCAACGGAUCUCUUGGCUCUG
rnacentral:misc_RNA from 1 species